GAUGAACGCUGGCGGCGUGCUUAACACAUGCAAGUCGAACGGAAAGGCCCCUGCUUGCAGGGGUACUCGAGUGGCGAACGGGUGAGUAACACGUGGGUGAUCUGCCCUGCACUUCGGGAUAAGCUUGGGAAACUGGGUCUAAUACCGGAUAGGAUUUUGGGUUGGAUGCUAUUGUGGAAAGUUUUUCGGUGGGGGGUGGGCUCGCGGCCUAUCAGCUUGUUGGUGGGGUAAUGGUCUACCAAGGCGUCGACGGGUAGCCGGCCUGAGAGGGUGUACGGCCACAUUGGGACGGAGAUACGGCCCAGACUCCUACGGGAGGCAGCAGUGGGGAAUAUUGCACAAUGGGCGCAAGCCUGAUGCAGCGACGCCGCGUGGGGGAUGACGGCCUGCGGGUUGUAAUCUCCUUUCGCUAGGGACGAAGCGAAAGUGACGGUACCUGGAGAAGAAGCACCGGCUAACUACGUG
rnacentral:rRNA from 1 species